GUAGGUGAACCUGCGGAGGGAUCAUUACCGAGUGAGGGCGUCCCGCGCCCGACCUCCAACCCUUUGUUUACCAAACCCAGUUGCCUCGGGGGUGACCCGGACGCGCGAGCGUCGGGGCCUCCGGUGGACCAACUAACCCUGCAUCUCUGCGUCGGAGUACUUGAUAAAUCAAUCAAAACUUUCAACAACGGAUCUCUUGGUUCUGGCAUCGAUGAAGAACGCAGCAUCUGACUGACUGGAAGCUUGUCUA
rnacentral:misc_RNA from 1 species